GCGCAGACCACUCCAGCAACUCUCCACCGAGUGUUCGACAACAUGCAGCGUCGUGUUCAGACACGUCUUCAAGCCGGUGGUGGACAUCUCCUGUAACCGUACGCUGCAGUGAUCACCGCAAUGCCAUGACGACAUUUGAACAUGAAGUGGUUCUACGAGGGCUUCCAAGGACUUCCUCGAGGGCUUCCUCUCCAACGAUGGAGAGGGUAGUUGCCCUGCACCACAUUUCAUCUCCCCGCGGCCUUUACCGAACCUGGCGCUCAAGUUGACGAUCCACCGAAGUGAUGAUCACGGUGAAGGUGACAGGAAUUUCCCAUUAGGUACGGAGGCAGACAUCGUCUACCGGGGCCUGAGCCAUGCGCUCGCAACGAAGAUCAUUGCGACCGCUCUUAGCUACUGCCAAAAUCAGUAAAUUUAUGUAGAAAUAAAUUUGCGAUGAAUUGUGUUCAAUCAUUGGAUGACAUUUCAGUUGAGACCUAUGCAGCGCAUAAACAGGAACACUGCACGAGAAUAAACGUCGCAUACGAUAAAUGCGUCGCUAUAAACGCUUAUGCUGAGGGUAGUACUGCAUAUUGCAGCGAACAGUGGGCUUUUCAAUAUAUUAAAUCAUAAAGUAGCUUAGUAAGUAAUUUGUGUAAGUAACCAGAAACAUAAUGGAAGUUAUACAAAGUGGUGUCUUUGUGGCACUGCGCUUAAGAUUGGUUCCAAUUACAGAUGCACAGCCGUGGUUUCUGUGGUAUAUUAAACGUUUACAUAAGCAAUUUUGCGUGUCUUACCAGGCUCUUCUUGCUUGUUUGGUAGGCAGGAUCCUGCCUCACUUAGUUUCGGGCCUUACACAUGUACCCACACAAAAAAGAAAAAAAAAAUAA